ensembl:snRNA U6 U6 spliceosomal RNA
GUGCUCACUUUGGCACCAUAUAUACUAAAAUUGGAAUGAUUCAGAGAACAUUAGCAUGGCCCCUGUGCAAGAAGGAAAAGAAAAGGAGUGGGGGUGGAGAAAGGCUCU